CACCGCCCGUCACACCAUGGGAGUUGGUUUCACCCGAAGGCAGUGCGCUAACCGCAAGGAGGCAGCUGACCACGGUGGGAUCAGCGACUGGGGUG
rnacentral:rRNA from 1 species